UCCUACGGGAGCAGCAGUGAGGAAUAUUGGUCAAUGGACGAGAGUCUGAACCAGCCAAGUAGCGUGCAGGAUGACUGUUCUAUGGAUUGUAAACUGCUUUUAUACGGGAAUAAACAACUCUACGUGCUACAAUGGUUGUGUGUGCCGUAUGAAUAAGGAUCGGCUAACUCCGUGCCAGCAGCCGCGGUAAUACGGAGGAUCCGAGCGUUAUCCGGAUUUAUUGGGUUUAAAGGGAGCGUAGAUGGAUUGUUAAGUCAGUUGUGAAAGUUUGCGGCUCAACCGUAAAAUUGCAUUUGAUACUGGAAGUCUUGAGUGCAGUUGAGGUAGGCGGAAUUCGUGGUGUAGCGGUGAAAUGCUUAGAUAUCACGAAGAACUCCGAUUGCGAAGGCAGCUUACUAACCUGUAACUGACAUUGAUGCUCGAAAGUGUGGGUAUCAAACAGGAUUAGAUACCCUGGUAGUCCACACGGUAAACGAUGAAUACUCGCUGUUUGCGAUAUACAGUCUGCGGCCAAGCGAAAGCGUUAAGUAUUCCACCUGGGGAGUACGCCGGCAACAGUGAAACUCAAAGAAAUUGACGG
rnacentral:rRNA from 1 species